rnacentral:rRNA from 1 species
UACGAAGGGGGCUAGCGUUGCUCGGAAUCACUGGGCGUAAAGCGCACGUAGGCGGAUCUUUAAGUCAGGGGUGAAAUCCUGGAGCUCAACUCCAGAACUGCCCCUUGAUACUGGGGAUCUUGAGUCCGGAAGAGGUGAGUGGAACUCCGAGUGUAGAGGUGAAAAUUCGUAGAUAUUCGGAAGAACACCAGUGGCGAAGGCGGCUCACUGGUCCGGUACUGACGCUGAGGUGCGAAAGCGUGGGGAGCAAACAGG